CCUACGGGUGGCAGCAGUAGGGAAUAUUGCUCAAUGGGGGAAACCCUGAAGCAGCAACGCCGCGUGGAGGAUGAAGGUUUUCGGAUUGUAAACUUCUUUUGUGAGAGAAGAUAAUGACGGUAUCUCACGAAUAAGCACCGGCUAACUCCGUGCCAGCAGCCGCGGUAAUACGGAGGGUGCAAGCGUUAUUCGGAAUCACUGGGCGUAAAGCGUGCGUAGGCGGGCUUGUAAGUCAGAAGUGAAAUGCUGUAGCUUAACUACAGAACUGCAUUUGAAACUCUGCGUCUAGAGUGUAGGAGAGGUAGGUGGAAUGCUUGGUGUAGGGGUAAAAUGCGUAGAUAUUAAGAGGAAUACUCAUUGCGAAGGCGACCUACUGGAACAUUACUGACGCUCAUGCACGAAAGCGUGGGGAGCAAACAGGAGUAGAUACCCCAGUAGUC
rnacentral:rRNA from 1 species